GGAGAGGUGGCCGAGUGGCUUAAGGCAGUCGCUUGCUAAGCGACCGUACGGGCUAAAACCUGUACCGCGGGUUCGAAUCCCGCCCUCUCCG
rnacentral:tRNA from 1 species